GUUUUAAGAAUAAGAUGUGAAACGAAUACUCAAUGUGAAAAUAAUAAAGUUAAAAAAAAUAAUAUUUAGAUUUUACAAACGUGCAAAUCUUUCGUUUAAUAUGUUAUUGAUAUUGCAUUAUAUUUUUUAGCAUGCAGUGCUACUAAUUUACGUUGUUUGCUAAAGCGUCUUCAAUAGUGCGUUAGAAAUGUUUGCUGGAACAAUUUUUUUUUUGCAGCUUUCUAUAUCACAAUUCAUGAAAAAGGAUAUUUGAUGAAUGUUAUAGAAAUGUUUUGACAAUAAUAAAAACACAAAAUUGUAAAAUUUAUGACUAUUGUAUAUUAAGAAUGUUUAAUGUUAAUAUACUUAUUUUAUAAAAUAUGGACCAGCUAAUACUUCAAAUGGCUUAUUUUGUGCGGAAAUUAACAAAUUGCAACAGCGCAAACAAAAAUAUGAGGAUCUCGAUGUAUGCUUUACCAGAAGUGUUCGCGGGAACAAUUUGUUAACUAUCAACGGCAAGCCAUACACAUUGAAUCGGCGAAUAAAGGAUGUUUGUUAUUGGGAAUGUGUAAAACUGCGAUGCAAGUACACAAAAUGCACCGCGCGUGUCAUUACGAAAUGUGAUCAGAUUGCAUCGUUGCGUGGAGAUCAUAACCAUUUAUAAAUAUGUGUAAUUAUUUAGUGAAUGCUUGAAAAUAAAUUUAGUAUGUUAGCUAUAA